rnacentral:lncRNA from 1 species
GUUGAAGAUUAAGAUACUAAUCAAAGAUUAGUAUGAUUUUGCGAGAUCUCAUGUAGGUCUAUAUAUAAAAUAAAAUAGGGCUAAAAUUUUUAAUCCGGCUAUAGCAUUUAGGACAGUGACUAGAUUCAAGAGGUUUAGAAAGUUAAGCGUGCUAAAACUAGAGUAACCCUAGAAUAGGUGAUUCCCCAAAAAGUUGGGGUAUCAUAGUAGGUAUCAGAAUCAAUUAACAGCCGGAAGUGUGAGAUGAAUCUUGACUGAAUCAAGUUAUACAGUGAGGAGAGUAAGUCUCUCGUAUUGAUGACUGUGAUGGAUAGAACGCGACUUUCCCAUAAGGUCGGUUAAGGUUAGCAAGACGAAUCUCACAUCAUUUGAUACUUGUGAGUCUAAACCUGACGUUGACGUAGGAUGGGUGAUCCUCUGAAAAGUAGGGCGUCAUAUAUUUCAAGUAAUUUGGAUUAAAAUAAGGAGGU